CGGCCUGCACGCGGCUCCAUGCGGUACAUCUGCGUCCAGUUACUGACAUUCUCCACCCACCGUGCUAUUCGUUGAAUCGGGGCUUUUUAAAAACGCAAAUGUGUUUUCACCACUCACUGGCGUGCAGUCACAUACCAGCUGAUGACUCAGGAAAAGGCACUAAUGAUAAUUUUUGACACUCUCCCUACCCAGAGAUAACAAAGGAUGCGCUUCUUACAAAAAGGGUGCUAACUAAUUAAGAAUCUACUUUCAGAGAAAGGUAGUAUUCGCAUUCUUUCCCACACUGACCCCGACUAAUUCUGUAUUGACCCAAAGACAAUUCAUGAUAGGAAAUGUAUAGCAAUUGUAAGUCUGCCUCUGUGUAUUAUAGAGAUGUAUGUGACAAAUGUAAAAAGAAUGCAAUGAAGACAACAAUGAAAACUUGUUUGGGGGAAUGUGAUAAAGAGAUUAUUAAAUGUAAUAUUUGACCAUA